rnacentral:rRNA from 1 species
UGCCUAGGAAUCUGCCUGGUAGUGGGGGACAACGUUUCGAAAGGAACGCUAAUACCGCAUACGUCCUACGGGAGAAAGCAGGGGACCUUCGGGCCUUGCGCUAUCAGAUGAGCCUAGGUCGGAUUAGCUAGUUGGUGAGGUAAUGGCUCACCAAGGCGACGAUCCGUAACUGGUCUGAGAGGAUGAUCAGUCACACUGGAACUGAGACACGGUCCAGACUCCUACGGGAGGCAGCAGUGGGGAAUAUUGGACAAUGGGCGAAAGCCUGAUCCAGCCAUGCCGCGUGUGUGAAGAAGGUCUUCGGAUUGUAAAGCACUUUAAGUUGGGAGGAAGGGUUGUAAAUUAAUACUCUGCAAUUUUGACGUUACCGACAGAAUAAGCACCGGCUAACUCUGUGCCAGCAGCCGC